GACGAACGCUGGCGGCGUGCCUAAUACAUGCAAGUAGAACGCUGAAGGAGGAGCUUGCUCUUCUGGAUGAGUUGCGAACGGGUGAGUAACGCGUAGGUAACCUGCCUGGUAGCGGGGGAUAACUAUUGGAAACGAUAGCUAAUACCGCAUAAGAGUAGAUGUUGCAUGACAUUUACUUAAAAGGUGCAAUUGCAUCACUACCAGAUGGACCUGCGUUGUAUUAGCUAGUUGGUGGGGUAACGGCUUACCAAGGCGACGAUACAUAGCCGACCUGAGAGGGGGCUCGGCCCCACUUGGACUGGGACACGGCCCAGACUCCUACGGGAGGCAGCAGUAGGGAAUCUUCGGCAAUGGACGGAAGUCUGACCGAGCAACGCCGCGUGAGUGAAGAAGGUUUUCGGAUCGUAAAGCUCUGUUGUAAGAGAAGAACGAGUGUGAGAGUUGAAAGUUCACCCUGUGACGGUAUCUUACCAGAAAGGGACGGCUAACUACGUG
rnacentral:rRNA from 1 species